rnacentral:lncRNA from 1 species
AAUAUAAUUUAUACACAAAUCAAUAAAUUACUCAACAUUUAUUAGGACAUCACUACUAAUUUAUGAAUAGAUAAAUAAUAAAUUAUUUAACAUUCUACAAGUUUAUAAUUAAUUAAAAAACCAUAUACUAGCAUUUAAUAAAAAAUAAACAAAUAAUGAGCACAUACAUCCAUAAACCACAUACAUAGAAAUUAAUAUAUGUUGUUGAUUCCUUGAAUUUUCACCAUAAACUACAUAUAUCCAUUCUAUUAUCAAAAUUUUUUAUCCUCAUUGUAUCUUCUCAAACCACAUUCAUCAACAUCAAUUUCUAUGAAUUUGCUUUUACUCCAUCUUUCAAAUUAAAAUCAUCUAGAAAUCAAAUAUAAUAUGACAAAAUCUAUUAAUAAUGAGUUAUGAAAAAAUUAUAUAAAAUUAAAUUUCAUGAUUCAUAUUAUUUGAAAGUCUUAAGGUUACAUGAUUUCUUAUCUCCAUCCAUCAAACUAAUCCAAUGUAAUAGUUACUUCAUUAGGAUUCAAUUAACUCAAUUCUAUGUUGAUUAAUUAUAAAAAGAAAAAGAUAAACAUAAAGUUAAAAAUGAGUAUAUCGAAAUAGGAUAAUUGAGUAAAUGAUAAUAUUCUAGAUCUUCUUGUAGGUUUACCACAAGUCUACUUUCAACAUAACCUUAUAUAUGAACUAGAUUUUUUGCCAUCUACAUUAAGAAAAAGAAAAUAUUUCAUCAAUGACAAUAUUUUUGUAUAUUCUUUAGAAAAAGGAUAUUAAAAAAUAUCACAUGUUAAGGCUUAAAAAACUCCUACAUUGAUCAAGUGUAUGCCCUCUAAUACUAAAUACAAACUCAGAAGCUACUAUAACUAUGGACAUUGCAAGCACA